GAGUUUGAUCAUGGCUCAGAUUGAACGCUGGCGGCAGGCCUAACACAUGCAAGUCGAGCGGAUGACGGGAGCUUGCUCCUUGAUUCAGCGGCGGACGGGUGAGUAAUGCCUGGGAAUCUGCCUGGUAGUGGGGGACAACGUUUCGAAAGGAACGCUAAUACCGCAUACGUCCUACGGGAGAAAGCAGGGGACCUUCGGGCCUUGCGCUAUCAGAUGAGCCUAGGUCGGAUUAGCUAGUUGGUGGGGUAAUGGCUCACCAAGGCGACGAUCCGUAACUGGUCUGAGCGGAUGAUCAGUCACACUGGAACUGAGACACGGUCCAGACU
rnacentral:rRNA from 1 species